CACCACAAGAAGGAUUGGGGCAGACCACCUUAACCUUCCACAACUUAUAGAGCAUCCAGACGAGUAGUGGAUGGGUGAAAACACGGUCUGGUGAAGGCUCCUGGUGGUAGAGACUCGGCUGAGGUGUAGCAGCAGAAGGAAGGCUCCUUCUUCGCCUCUGGUUCCUGCAACAAGAGGGGGACACUCUCCUCCGCCUUUAACUUCAGGGCCUGUCUUUGGGUGGAUCCUGCUGGACUAUCCAGCUCCUGUGGUCGCGGCCUCCUGGCUGCCCUCCAGAGAGCUGUUUCCUGUCUGCGCCGCCUCCCAGCCUGACUAAACUAAAUAUUUUAAUAUCGGAGCUGCUUUCAAAGUGAUUUUCCAAACACAUGAAGUUUCUGGACAAAGUAUCAGAUCAGUAUCAGAUCGGUAUCAGACCGGUAUCGCCGAUACUGGCUUGUAUUUUACUUGGUAUCGGAUCAGAAAGAAAGCGAGUGGCAUCGUACAUCACUACUCCAGUACUCCUGCUGGCAGCACGCGGUGUGAUGGAAACCUACGAGCCUGCGUGCUCUAGUCUGGAGCUGCUCUUAAAGGGCCAGCGUCACUAAAAUACCCCACACAGUUAUCACAAUACCAGCUUUACAAGCAGAACGAAUGUGAACAGUUUACCAAACCAAGACUUGGUGGUUCACAUGUUGCAGCUGCAGAGCCGAAUGUCGCCAUGGCCAGGAAAGUGUCUCAGAAACAAGUCAUGGAAGGUGGGAGAUUACUGGUUCUCCGGUCAGCACUGCAUCUCAGCUCUAGACCCCCAAACUCCCUUGGUGUUCCUCUGUUUGAUCGGGAGAGGAUGGAGCACAUCUGGCGGGUCCAGAAGAAGCAUGUGAAGAGCAUCCAAGAUCCACCAGGUGUUGCUCUCUACACUAAAACUGGGAGCUGACCAAGGGAGGUGUGUGUCUGCCGGUGUUUAGGUGAACCAGAGGCUCAACUUCCUUGGAGUCUUUUCAUCUGCAGCUAAACCGCUUCAUACCAGGGAGCAGUGCCAACAGCCUGAAUGUUCAGGUUUACCUGUUGGAAGGGCUACACAGGUGGAACCAGGACCAGGUGUUGCUGCCAUGGCAACUGAGAAGUCUCCUUUGUGCUGCUACUCUGGUGAUUUGCUGCAUUCUGUCAACCAAACCUACAAGAAGCUGUUUGGCAGAAAGGUGGCGCCAGAGUUCUGUCCGUCCUCAUGUUACACAGGCAAACUCGUAGGAGUGCAGUAUCUGUUCCAGCAGACUGGUCAGGAACUGCAGGACAUGAACCCUGACUCAGAGGAGACCGCCCGGUUGGUUGAGGAGCACGAUGUGGUGCUUGAUGAGGAAGAUGAGGGCUUUUCUGACCUCACAGACGAGCCACAGUGCUGGAUAUGGAGGUUCAACCUGCUCCCAGCACCUCCUCCACACUGGCCUCUGGCAUAUCUGAGGCUGGAGAUUCCUCACAUGAAACUGUGCUCAGUAACAGUUAUUUGCUGCUGUUUUCUACAUACUGUAUGUUCACGGAUGUUAUUGAAACUAAAGGUUUUAAAUAGUAAUUUUCUGUUUUCUGCUUAAUAACAUUGGCAGGCUGUUGAUGAGCAGAAUGUGGCUGGAUACCAGCAUGUGGAGGAGAAAGAUCCUAAAUAGAAUUUAGGGAACUUGCUCGUCAAUAAUUGUAAAUAGUUCUGAUUGUUUGAGUGUUUAUUGUAAAUAUUGGUCUUUUUUAAAUGGUUCUUGUAUUAUUCAUUUUCUGUGUAAAAGCAACAUUUCUCAUUGUGAAGAGCGACAUUAA